CUUUACGGCCAUACCAGCCUGGGUACGCCUGAUCUCGUCUGAUCUCGGAAGCUAAGCAGUGUCGGGCCUGGUUAGUACUUGGAUGGGAGACCGCCUUGGAAUACCAGGUGCUGUAAGCA
rnacentral:rRNA from 1 species